rnacentral:rRNA from 1 species
GUGCUUACAAGUAGUCAGAGCCCGUUAAUGGGUGAUGGCGUGCCUUUUGUAGAAUGAACCGGCGAGUUACGAUUUGAUGCAAGGUUAAGCAGCUAAUGUGGAGCCGUAGAGAAAGCGAGUCUGAAUAGGGCGUUUAGUAUUUGGUCGUAGACCCGAAACCAGGUGAUCUACCCUUGGUCAGGUUGAAGUUCAGGUAACACUGAAUGGAGGACCGAACCGACUUACGUUGAAAAGUGAGCGGAUGAACUGAGGGUAGCGGAGAAAUUCCAAUCGAACUUGGAGAUAGCUGGUUCUCUCCGAAAUAGCUUUAGGGCUAGCCUCAAGUGAUGAUUAUUGGAGGUAGAGCACUGUUUGGACGAGGGGCCCUUCUCGGGUUACCGAAUUCAGACAAACUCCGAAUGCCAAUCAAUUUAACUUGGGAGUCAGAACAUGGGUGAUAAGGUCCGUGUUCGAAAGGGAAACAGCCCAGACCACCAGCUAAGGUCCCAAAAUAUAUGUUAAGUGGAAAAGGAUGUGGCGUUGCCCAGACAACUAGGAUGUUGGCUUAGAAGCAGCCAUCAUUUAAAGAGUGCGUAAUAGCUCACUAGUCGAGUGACACUGCGCCGAAAAUGUACCGGGGCUAAACAUAUUACCGAAGCUGUGGAUUGUCCGUAGGACAAUGGUAGGAGAGCGUUCUAAGGGCGUCGAAGCAUGAUCGCAAGGACAUGUGGAGCGCUUAGAAGUGAGAAUGCCGGUGUGAGUAGCGAAAGACGGGUGAGAAUCCCGUCCACCGAUUGACUAAGGUUUCCAGAGGAAGGCUCGUCCGCUCUGGGUUAGUCGGGUCCUAAGCUGAGGCCGACAGGCGUAGGCGAUGGAUAACAGGUUGAUAUUCCUGUACCACCUAGUAUCGUUUUAAUCGAUGGGGGGACGCAGUAGGAUAGGCGAAGCGUGCUAUUGGAUUGCACGUCCAAGCAGUAAGACUGAGUGUUAGGCAAAUCCGGCACUCAUAAGGUCAAGCUGUGAUGGGGAGAGGAAAUUAUUUCCUCGAGUCGUUGAUUUCACACUGCCAAGAAAAGCCUCUAGAUAGAUAACAGGUGCCCGUACCGCAAACCGACACAGGUAGUCAAGAUGAGAAUUCUAAGGUGAGCGAGCGAACUCUCGUUAAGGAACUCGGCAAAAUGACCCCGUAACUUCGGGAGAAGGGGUGCUCUUUAGGGUUAACGCCCAGAAGAGCCGCAGUGAAUAGGCCCAAGCGACUGUUUAUCAAAAACACAGGUCUCUGCUAAACCGUAAGGUGAUGUAUAGGGGCUGACGCCUGCCCGGUGCUGGAAGGUUAAGAGGAGUAGUUAGCUUCUGCGAAGCUACGAAUCGAAGCCCCAGUAAACGGCGGCCGUAACUAUAACGGUCCUAAGGUAGCGAAAUUCCUUGUCGG